UGAAAAUCAGAAAGAAGAAGAAAACGAAGAGCCUCGCCGUCUUGUUGAUCGCGAAGCCAACAUGGCGGCUCCUCUGGAGGUGGUAGUCAGCAGCGAUUCGGGCUCCCAGCUCUGGAACUGCACCGUGUUCGACCUCCACAGCGGCUCCAGCCUGCUCUCCUACCGGGGAGGCAACUCUGCGGCCCGGAGCCUCGCCGUCCUGCGGGGGGAGUUUCUGCUCAGCGCGCAGCUGGGGAAAAACUUCAUCAAUGUGUGGGAGAUCCAGAGGAAGGACCAGCUGCAGCAGAAGAUCGUCUGUCCAGGUGUGGUCACCUGUCUCACCGCCUCACCUGACGGGGCUUUCCUCGCCGCAGGAGUCGCCGAGGAGGUCUACCUGUGGGAGGUGUGCACAGGUAAGCUGCUGGCGGUGCUCAGUCGACACUAUCAGGACGUCACAUGUUUGAAGUUCACCGACGACAGCAGCCAUUUUGUUUCUGCGGGCAAAGACAACCUGGCGCUGGUGUGGAACGUGUGCAGUGUGGUCCAGAUGGAUUUAAGCCACGCCCCCGAACCACGCCAUGUCCUGUCCCGCCACUCUCUGCCAAUCACAGACCUGCACUGUGGUCACAUGGGAGCUCAGGCCAGAGUCGCCACGUCAUCGCUCGACCAGACCGCAAAGGUGUGGGAGCUCUCCUCAGGUGAGCUGCUGCUGUCCGUCCUCUUUGACGUGGAGAUCAUGUCGGUAACCUUUGACCCCUCAGAGUACUUCCUGUUCUGUGGAGGACGUGACGGGAACAUUUUUCAGGUGUCUCUCUGCAGCCAGAGUCUGAACCGGGAGAAGUCGUUCCAGUCGGACGGCGAGGGAAACCAGGUGUUCAAAGGCCACAGGAGCCUGGUCACCUGCCUCUCCGUGUCCAUGGACGGGACGCUGCUGCUGUCCGGGUCGCAGGACGAGACGGCCCGCCUCUGGGACGUCCAGAGCCGGCAGAGCGUCCGCUGCCUCGCACACAAAGGUCCUGUGACCAACGCCGUCAUCAUGGCCGUCUCAGCUAACAUGUUCCUGCCGGACAGUCGGCCCGCCGUCCCGCUGCCCCGCUUCAGCCGACACCUGCAGGCCCCCGAGGGCCCCGACGCCGAGGGGGGCGGGGCCUGGGUCCGCCCCGCCCUCCAUGCACAGCUCCCUCUGAGGCCUGGACUGUCCAGCUGAAAACCAAAACAUCACAGACAGCAAGUGAAAAAUGUAACCACAGAGUUGGAGUGUUGCUAGGUAACCACAGAGUUGGAGUGUUGCUAGGUAACCACAGAGUUGGAGUGUUGCUAGGUAACCACAGAGUUGGAGUGUUGCUAGGUAACCACAGAGUUGGAGUGUUGCUAGGUAACCACAGAGUUGGAGUGUUAGUUGAUGCUACCCAGCCUGUCUGUGUGAUCGACAUGUGUUGUUAUUGAUUGACUGUCCAGUCCUACUACUUCUGCACCUUCAACCAAUUUCAGCAGAUUAUUUAUCAAAACCUUCAGCUGCUUCUGGAGAAUUACACUAUGAGUAAUUUCUCUGAUACCUUUUGAAGAAAUGUGACUUUUACAUGAAUUGAAAUGCAUUUAGCAGAACCUUUGCUCUUUGACAGCUUCUUCCUACAUCAGCUCAGAAACUCCAUUCAACUUUUCAACAAGUCAUCUGCAGAUUUGAAUUCUCACAGAUAUUUUGCAAAGAAAAGCAAUUUUUCCUCAUUAAUAUUUACAUGUCAUUUUCUUAUGAGUCAUAUUCAGUUGAGUGGAGUUUAAGUUUAGUUUGUUGAUUGAACCUGCCAGCAAAUUUAGUUUUGCAUCCUUAAUUUGUAUUUAUUGAAUUUUCCACUGUGCGACAGUAAAGGACACUUCAUUAAAAAAAUAAGACUUUUAGUUUUUGAAACUAAUUUUCUUUGUCAUUUUUUUCUAUUUUUUCAAAAUAUGAUCUGAAAUAACCUCAUUUUGUUGUAGCUGAUUUUUUCAUCAUCUUCAAAAUUGGAUGGUCCAUUUUCUAACACCCUGUCCCUCAGUGGGGUCAGGAGGAGCUGCUGCCUCUCCAGCUAACGUUCUGGG